CGCAGCCUGCUUUGCCUGCUUCCAGCUGUCCCCACAGCCCCAUCCAGCCACCUCCCUGAGGUUUGACCACUCCUGCUGGUGGCUUCUCCCUGUCGAGGUGUGAGCGCCGGCCUGACUGGGUCGGUCUGGAGAGCCGGGAGCCCUGCCCCCAUGGGAUAACCGGUCCUGAGGCAUGUGUGCUGGGAGCAGCCCUGGCGACCCUGCACCAACCCUCACAACCCUGUCUCAGCCGCCACCUUCCUGUGCGUGGGACAGAAGGAAGGGACAGCCGGGUGCAGCUCCACCUGCCAGUGGGACGGAGCCUGGGGAGGGGACCGCCGGAAGGAAACGCCCCAUCCCCCUUAGACCUUGGGACACCAGGAGGGGGGAGAAAGCCAGCAUGGACAGGGUCCACAGUGGGGUUACAUGCUGCAAGGCCGAGCCCAGCCCACUGCCAUUCUUAGAUGCCAGAGGAUUCGGGGAUCUCCUGGAGGCUAUUGCCCUUCUGGGGGCUGGGGGCUGCCAGCAGCUUCCAUGUUCCACACUCGUCACAGAUGUGGCCUGAUGUCACCUGUAGCAUGCAGCCAUGCAGUAGAAAUGUUCUUCUCCAGGCACACCGUGCAGGAGAGGCCCAACCUGGCCCAGCGCAGGGCCUCUGACCUGGGGCCUGUCCAGACCCUGUCCCAGGCACCCAGGACCUUCCCAGCCCCAAAGAAUCGGCGUGCUGGGCCCUCACAGUGGGCCCCAAAAUACACCCACGUGGAGCCGGCUGUGUACCCCAGGGCCCGCCAGGGAGGGCCAGGACCAAGGUGUGUCAUGGGCCAGGCCCUGCCCCGGCCCGGCCACUCACCUGGAGAUGGCCACACGGCCAGCAGUCUGGGCAGCAGGGCUUCAGUGCCCCAGGCCCACGUGGCCGCCUGUGGUCCCAGCUCAGCCGCAGAAGCUGCACUUUGGCAAGGCCACGGGAAGGGUUCUCUCCGAUCUUUGCUUCGUGCUGCUUCAAAGAGUCUUUCUGUCCUUCGCUUUUCAGGAGAAGCCCCUUCCUCCUCUUCCUGGGGAUGCGAGCCCCACGGACCUGAGGACUGCCGGCGCGUGGAACAAGGUUGCGCCCAGUUCUCGGAUGUCCGCCUUGGGCCCCCACCACCUGGGUACAGCCCCAUCCUCUUCCUCAACGACCUCCGUGAGAAGGAAGACAGCAGGCCCCGAGGCGGCCCGGGCCCUGGGAGAAUGAUGCCCGACACACAGGACCUGCCAGGAGGGAGCAGGUAGGAGAGGCUGACCGACUCAGGGCAUUCUCUGGCUCGGUGUGGCCUCCCAGGUGCGCACCCUCACGGGCAGAGGGCAGGGUGCCAGGAGCUGUGGGUGCCACUGCGGCCUGGACAGCAGGAGAGGCCAGGCUUGCUGCCUCACGGGAGCCCAGCCCCGGUCCAGGUCGGACCACUAGGUGGGCAGAGUAGGGCGGCUUCCUUCUUCAUAUGAUGGCGGUGGCGGGACAGCCGUGCCGGUCCUUCCUCCAGGGGCCGGCUGGACAGGAAGGACACUCCUCAAGUGUGCACAGAGGCCGGGGGGGCCUCACUGUGGUGUGCCAGGUGGCCACAGACUCACCACACACCAGCCACUACCUGCCACGGGCCCGGGGUCCCUACCGGCCUGACCUGCGGCAGAGCAGACACGCUGGACAGGGCCACGCACCGCCGCGGGGCCCAGGAGACGGCACUCCAUCAGUACCUCUCAGCCGCACGCUCUUUCCAGCCCAUGGCCCUGCCGGGAGGAAGGCUGCGUUCAGAGAAAUCUUCCCGGGCACCUGCUUGGGGGAGCAGCGUGUCCCCUGCCAGGCCAUGGGGUCCGACA
ensembl:lncRNA